rnacentral:rRNA from 1 species
CAUUACACAAAUAUGAAGGCGGGCUGGAACCUCUCGGGGUUACAGCCUUGCUGAAUUAUUCACCCUUGUCUUUUGCGUACUUCUUGUUUCCUUGGUGGGUUCGCCCACCACUAGGACAAACAUAAACCUUUUGUAAUUGCAAUCAGCGUCAGUAACAAAUUAAUAAUUACAACUUUCAACAACGGAUCUCUUGGUUCUGGCAUCGAUGAAGAACGCAGCGAAAUGCGAUAAGUAGUGUGAAUUGCAGAAUUCAGUGAAUCAUCGAAUCUUUGAACGCACAUUGCGCCCUUUGGUAUUCCAAAGGGCAUGCCUGUUCGAGCGUCAUUUGUACCCUCAAGCUUUGCUUGGUGUUGGGCGUCUUGUCUCUAGCUUUGCUGGAGACUCGCCUUAAAGUAAUUGGCAGCCGGCCUACUGGUUUCGGAGCGCAGCACAAGUCGCACUCUCUAUCAGCAAAGGUCUAGCAUCCAUUAAGCCUUUUUUUCAACUUUUGACCUCGGAUCAGGUAGGGAUACCCGCUGAACUUAAGCAUAUCAAUAG